UACGUAGGGUGCAAGCGUUAAUCGGAAUUACUGGGCGUAAAGCGUGCGCAGGCGGUGAUGUAAGACAGGUGUGAAAUCCCCGGGCUUAACCUGGGAACUGCAUUGGUGACUGCAAGGCUUGAGUGUGUCAGAGGGAGGUGGAAUUCCGCGUGUAGCAGUGAAAUGCGUAGAUAUGCGGAGGAACACCGAUGGCGAAGGCAGCCUCCUGGGAUAACACUGACGCUCAUGCACGAAAGCGUGGGGAGCAAACAGG
rnacentral:rRNA from 1 species